AUUGCGGCGGUCUCUAAUUCGCUUGGUGCAGGUCGGGAAUCAAGUUCCUCGUACAGAAAUUAUGGGCAUCUGAUAAUGUUAAUUCAUAUUACUAUAUGGUUUAUAAUUGAAGUCGAUUCUUUUAAGCGAGAAUUAGGUUCCCGCCUUGCAUCAACUGAAUCUGAGGCCGCGAUGAAU
rnacentral:pre_miRNA from 1 species